GAUGAACGCUGGCGGCGUGCCUAAUACAUGCAAGUCGAACGCGCAGCGAAAGGUGCUUGCACCUUUCAAGCGAGUGGCGAACGGGUGAGUAACACGUGGAUAACCUGCCUCAAGGCUGGGGAUAACAUUUGGAAACAGAUGCUAAUACCGAAUAAAACUUAGUAUCGCAUGAUACAAAGUUGAAAGGCGCUACGGCGUCACCUAGAGAUGGGUCCGCGGUGCAUUAGUUAGUUGGUGGGUAAAGGCCUACCAAGACAAUGAUGCAUAGCCGAGUUGAGAGACUGAUCGGCCACAUUGGGACUGAGACACGGGCCCAAACUCCUACGGGAGGCUGCAGUAGGGAAUCUUCCCACAAUGGGCGAAAGCCUGAUGGAGCAAACGCCGCGUGUGUGAUGAAGGCUUUAGGGUCGUAAAGC
rnacentral:rRNA from 1 species